rnacentral:rRNA from 1 species
UACGUAGGGUGCAAGCGUUAAUCGGAAUUACUGGGCGUAAAGCGUGCGCAGGCGGUGAUGUAAGACAGGUGUGAAAUCCCCGGGCUUAACCUGGGAACUGCAUUUGUGACUGCAUGGCUAGAGUGCGGCAGAGGGGAUGGAAUUCCGCGUGUAGCAGUGAAAUGCGUAGAUAUGCGGAGGAACACCGAUGGCGAAGGCAAUCCCUGGGCCUGCACUGACGCUCGAUGACACGAAAGCGUGGGGAGCAAACAGG